rnacentral:misc_RNA from 1 species
AUAACAUCGGGCUUGUUACCGGACGAAUUGUCCGAGAGAAUGUAUCCACCCUUCUCAACUCCUUCAAUGGAAGUUCCAGGAAGAUUGGGCAACUUUUGGCGAGAAAGGGCAAGAAUGGAAGGUCUCUUUCGAUUUAGUACUGCAACUUUGUACGCCCCAGCAGUCUCAUUACCAUCAGCUGGUCGGAGCAUCAAUAUGUUUGGCAUAGCCCUGAAGCUUGCCAGAUGUUCGAUUGGCUGAUGGGUUGGCCCAUCUUCACCAAGACCGAUCGAAUCAUGAGU